UGAGGAAUAUUGGGCAAUGCCCGCAAGGGUGACCCAGCAACGCCGCGUGGAGGAUGAAUGCCGUAAGGUUGUAAACUCCUGUUAGAGGGGACGAAAUAUUCAGCUUCGUAAGAAUCUGAAUUUGACUGUACCCUCAGAGAAAGCCCCGGCUAACUACGUGCCAGCAGCCGCGGUAAUACGUAGGGGGCAAGCGUUGUCCGGAUUCACUGGGUGUAAAGGGCGCGCAGGCGGGUUAAUAAGUCAGAGGUGAAAUCCUACAGCUCAACUGUAGAACUGCCUUUGAUACUGUUAAUCUUGAGUUCGGAAGAGAGAGACGGAAUUCCAGGUGUAGUGGUGAAAUACGUAGAUAUCUGGAAGAACACCAGUAGCGAAGGCGGUCUCUUGGUCCGAUACUGACGCUCAGGCGCGAAAGCGUGGGUAGCAAACAGGAUU
rnacentral:rRNA from 1 species